AUACGGAGGGUGCAAGCGUUAAUCGGAAUUACUGGGCGUAAAGCGCACGCAGGCGGCUUUUUAAGUCGGAUGUGAAAGCCCCGGGCUCAACCUGGGAAUUGCAUCUGAUACUGGGAAGCUAGAGUAUGUGAGAGGGGGGUAGAAUUCCAAGUGUAGCGGUGAAAUGCGUAGAGAUUUGGAGGAAUACCAGUGGUGAAGGCGGCCCCCUGGCACAAUACUGACGCUCAGGUGCGAAAGCGUGGGGAGCAAACAGGAUUAGAUACCCUGGUAGUCCACGCCGUAAACGAUGUCUACUAGAUGUUCGUGGUCUUGUACCGUGAGUAUCGCAGCUAACGCAUUAAGUAGACCGCCUGGGGAGUACGGUCGCAAGAUUAAAACUCAAAUGAAUUGGCGGGG
rnacentral:rRNA from 1 species